rnacentral:lncRNA from 1 species
GGGCGCAUGUCUUCUUGCCUCAAAUCUGAUCAGAAUAGACGCCGUUUGAAUGGCAUCUGUCAAGAAGGGAGGCUGAAACCUCUUGUCUGAAAGACAAAGCUUCUACAUUCUCUUGAUGUUUUCCCCCUUCAGUCUUUCCCCCUAAUUAUUAGCUAGCUAAGCGAUACUGUGCGCUGGAUGGAGGGAGACGAUUCCCGGACUUAAUUCUCAAGUGUUCUUCUUUCUCCCCUUUACAGAAUCUCUCUAGCUGUCUCUGGUGGCUCUUUAACCACGAGACAGGACGGCUCUACGUUGAAUUACAGUUUUUCUGUGCUGUGUUUAACUUCGGCCAGGGAUUUAUUUCCUUCGGAAUUUUUGGGUUGGACAAACAUCUAAUCAUCCUACCUUUCAAAAGAAGGCUUGAAUUCCUGUGGAACAAUAAAGAAACAGCAGAAGACAGAGAAUCCCCGGUUUCCGAGGAAAUAAAAAUGACCUGUCAACAGUUUGUACAUUAUCACCGUGACCUGUGCAUCCGAAACAUCGUCAGAGAAAGAAGGUACAGAAUAUGCUGCAGCAGGAAAUGACGAACUGUGAAUAAUCAAAUAUUAUGGUGUCGAUGGUUUUAGAUGUUAUGAGAGAGGAAAUAAAACUGAGAAAAUAUGAAG